rnacentral:rRNA from 1 species
AAAUCUGGUUGAUCCUGCCAGAGGCGACCGCUUUUGGAGUUCGAUUAAGCCAUGCGAGUCGAGAGCUUUCGGAGCUCGGCAUACUGCUCAGUAACACGUGGAUAACCUGCCCUAUCGUCUGGAAUAACCUCGGGAAACUGAGAACAAUGCCGGAUAGCCCACAAUGCCUGGAACGGUUUGUGGGUGAAGAUAGGAUGGGUCUGCGGCGUAUCAGGUCGUAGGGGGUGUAAUGGACCUCCUAGCCAUCGACGCGUACGGGUUGUGGGAGCAAUAGCCCGGAGACGGAUUCUGAGACACGAAUCCGGACCCUACGGGGUGCAGCAGGCGCGAAAACUUCACACUGCAGGAAACUGUGAUGAGGGAACUCCAAGUGACUGCCCAAUGGGUAGCCUUUUCUUGAAUCUUAAUAGUUCUUGGAAUAAGGGCUGGGAAAGACCGGUGCCAGCCGCCGCGGUAAUACCGGCAGCUCAAGUGGUCGUCGCUUUUAUUGGGC